CACGAACCGUACGAGCGUUAUUCGGAAUUACUGGGCUUAAAGGGUUUGUAGGCGGCCUUAUAAGUCAGGUGUGAAAGCCCUCGGCUCAACCGAGGAAUAGCGCUUGAUACUGUAAGGCUUGAGGGAGACAGGGGUAAGCGGAACUGAUGGUGGAGCGGUGAAAUGCGUUGAUAUCAUCAGGAACACCGGGGGCGAAAGCGGCUUACUGGGUCUCUUCUGACGCUGAGGAACGAAAGCUAGGGUAGCGAACGGG
rnacentral:rRNA from 1 species